rnacentral:rRNA from 1 species
GUGGAUUAGAUACCCUAGUAGUCCUAGCUGUAAACGAUGGAUACUAGUUGUUGCAGGAAUCGACCCCCGCAGUGACGAAGCUAACGCAUUAAGUAUCCCGCCUGGGAAGUACGUUCGCAAGAAUGAAACUCAAAGGAAUUGACGGGGACCCGCACAAGCGGUGGAACAUGUGGUUCAAUUCGAUGCAACGCGAAGAACCUUACCUGGCCUUGACAUGCCUAGAACCCGGGAGAGAUUCCGGGGUGCCUUCGGGAGCUAGGACACAGGUGCUGCACGGUUGUCGUCAGCU